rnacentral:rRNA from 1 species
GUGGGGAAUCUUAGACAAUGGGCGCAAGCCUGAUCUAGCCAUGCCGCGUGAGCGAUGAAGGCCUUAGGGUUGUAAAGCUCUUUCGCUGGGGAAGAUAAUGACUGUACCCAGUAAAGAAGCCCCGGCUAACUCCGUGCCAGCAGCCGCGGUAAUACGGAGGGGGCUAGCGUUGUUCGGAAUUACUGGGCGUAAAGCGCGCGUAGGCGGAUUGGAAAGUUGGGGGUGAAAUCCCGGGGCUCAACCUCGGAACUGCCUUCAAAACUCCCAGUCUUGAGUUCGAGAGAGGUGAGUGGAAUUCCGAGUGUAGAGGUGAAAUUCGUAGAUAUUCGGAGGAACACCAGUGGCGAAGGCGGCUCACUGGCUCGAUACUGACGCUGAGGUGCGAAAGCGUGGGGAGCAAACAGGAUUAGAAACCCCGGUAGUCC